AUUGUACUCCCCCCGUCCCAAAAUACUUGUCAUAGAAAUGGAUAAAUUGGAUGUAUCUAUAACUAAAAUAAGUGUAGAUUCAUCCAUUUCUCCGACAAGUAUUUUUGAACAGAGGGAAUACAUA
rfam:Triticum aestivum genome assembly, contig: Triticum_aestivum_CS42_TGACv1_scaffold_471106_6AL